GGACAAUCGGCUUUCCUGUUUAUUUAAGAUCUGUCCUCAUUAUCGCAGAGGAUGGAAAGUCUGCUUAAGUUAUAAGACAUCACUAGCCUGUUAUCAUCAGCGGGGCAUAUUUCCUUAACUGGAGGGAUCACUGGCUUGGAUAUCCAACCUUACAAAAAUAUAAGUACAAUAGAUCAUUCUCUUCCCAAAAAUGAAAUAUAGGGAGUGGACCAAGUCCUGUCUGGAAGAAGUGAUUGUGCUUGCUAGACCUGUCGUGCAGUCAGGGUUCUGAGAGAUGGAUUAGGUGGAGGGAGGAGAACUUGAAGGAACAGAACCUCUGUCUCCAUUUCUCUAACAGCUUCAUCAUGGCAGAAGAGUCCCUGCACAGUUUUCCGAGGGGGUGUGAUGAGCCAGGCGGCAUGCAGCUAAGUGUCCUCGACAGCAAGCAGACACAUGUACCCAGGUUGGUAUAUCCCAGACGAUUCUGUUGUACUGAUAUUAAGGACAACAGUAUUUUGCCAGAAGCUAUAGUGAGAUGAUUCUGUGACAACAACAGGGUGACA
rnacentral:lncRNA from 1 species